UGGCAAGACGCUCCAUCAGUGGUGGAAGUCCUGGAGUGUCAUCAAACAGCCUGAUGCAUGUGAGGAACUUAAGGAGUAGUCUAUAGAAUCAGACCUCUGCAUAUGAUCUGUCAUGUUCUCAGCUGCCAUUUAACAGGCCUUCAGGAGAACAGCAGGAUUGUAUUUUAUUACACAUAUCGGAAAAUAAAUCCUGAUGUGAACUGUUGUGGAAGAUUCAAAAUAGAAGUUUGGCCAUAACACAUUGAGGAAUGACUUACACCACAAGCAACUACACAAACCUGGGACUUUCACAGCAUCACAAGGAUGUUUC